GAUGAACGCUGGCGGCGUGCCUAAUACAUGCAAGUCGAGCGAACGGACGAGAAGCUUGCUUCUCUGAUGUUAGCGGCGGACGGGUGAGUAACACGUGGAUAACCUACCUAUAAGACUGGGAUAACUUCGGGAAACCGGAGCUAAUACCGGAUAAUAUUUUGAACCGCAUGGUUCAAAAGUGAAAGACGGUCUUGCUGUCACUUAUAGAUGGAUCCGCGCUGCAUUAGCUAGUUGGUAAGGUAACGGCUUACCAAGGCAACGAUGCAUAGCCGACCUGAGAGGGUGAUCGGCCACACUGGAACUGAGACACGGUCCAGACUCCUACGGGAGGCAGCAGUAGGGAAUCUUCCGCAAUGGGCGAAAGCCUGACGGAGCAACGCCGCGUGAGUGAUGAAGGUCCUCGGAUCGUAAAACUCUGUUAUUAGGGAAGAACAUAUGUGUAAGUAACCGUGCACAUCUUGACGGUACCUAAUCAGAAAGCCACGGCUAACUACGUG
rnacentral:rRNA from 1 species